UGACAUACAUUAUUUUUCCUUAAGCGUUUCUUGGCUUUGUUGCCUGCUAAUUGGAGGGAUAACGUGUUCUACAUCAGAAGGUGAUCGGUCUCCUGCACUGGAUUCUAAUGCAGCAUGGCUCUAUGCAGGAUCACUUCGGUCUCUAGGAUAUGGCAAUUAUAAGUCUCCAAAAUCUCAAAUGCAAGCGCAACAGAAACAUCCGGCCGCCAUCCUGCGGAAGGAACUGGCCCCCAUGUCCCAGCAACCUCAGCAAGUGUGGUAUCCAGUUCAAAUGCCCCUGCAUCAGAAGCAACUGGCCGCAGAAGCUCAGCAGCAGAGGCAACCGACCGCCGUGCCCCAGCAAGUGUGGCAUCAAGCUCACAUGCUGACGCAUAAGCAACCGACCGCGGUGCCCCAGCAAGUGUGGCAUCAAGCUCACAUGCUGAUGCAUAAGCAACCGACCGCCGUGCCCCAGCAAGUGUGGCAUAGAGCUCAAAUGCCCCUGCUGCAGAAGAAACUGACCGCCAUGACCCAGCAAGUGUGGCAUCCUCCUCACAUGGCCCUGCAGCAGAAGCAACCGACCGCCGUGCCCCAGCAAUUGUGGCAUCCUGCUCAAAUUCCCCUGCAGCAGAAGCAACCGACCACCGUGCCCCAGCAAGUGUGGCAUCCUGAUCAAAUGCCCCUGCAGCAGAAGCAACUGACCGCCGUGCCCCAGCAAGUGUGGCAUCCUGCUCAAAUGCCCCUGCAAACAACCGCUGUGCCCCAGCAAGUGUGGCAUCCUAAUCAAAUGCUGCAGAAGCAACCGACUGCCGUGCCCCAGCAAGUGUGGCAUCCUCAAAUGCCCCUGCAGCAGAAGCAACUGACGACCGUGCCCCAGUAAGUGUGGCAUCCAGCUCAAAUGCAGCAGAAGCAACCGACUGCCGUGCCCCAGCAAGUGUGGCAUCCUUCUCAAAUGCCUCUGCAGCAGAAGCAACCGACUGCCGUGCCCCAGCAAGUGUGGCAUCCUCAAAUGCCCCUGCAGCAGAAGCAACCGACUGCCGUGCCCCAGCAAGUGUGGCAUCCUCAAAUGCCCCUGCAGCAGAAGCAACUGACGACCGUGCCCCAGCAAGUGUGGCAUCCUGCUCAAAUGCAGCAGAAGCAACCGACCACCGUGCCCCAGCAAGUGUGGCAUCCAGCUCAAAUGCAGCAGAAGCAACCGACUGCCGUGCCCCAGCAAGUGUGGCAUCCUCCUCAAAUGGCCCUGAGGCAGAAGCAAAUGAUCGCUGUGCCCCAGCAAGUGUGGCAUCCUCCUCAAAUGGCCCUGAGGCAGAAGCAAAUGACCGCUGUGCCCCAGCAAGCAUGGCAUCCUGCUCAGUUUCCCCAGCAGAAGCAACUGGUCCCUAUGCCUCUACUGCAGAAGGAACCAACCACCAUAGCCCAGCAACCUCAGCAGGUGUGGCAUCCAGCUCAAAUGUCCAAGAAUCGAACAGCCACUGAACCUCAGCAGAAGCAACCAUCCACCACGCCCCAGCAAGCGUGGCAUCCAGCUCAAAUUCCCCUGCAGCAGAAGCAACCGGCCACUGAACCUCAACAGAAGGAGCUGACCGCCAUGCCACAGAAGCUACAGGCCUCCAUUCUCCAGCAACCUCCGCUCGUGUGGCAUCCAUCUCAAUUUCCCCAGCAGAAGGAACUGGCAGUCGAGCCCCAGCAGCAGAAGGAACUGGCAGUCGAGCCCCAGCAGCAGAAGGAACUGGCAGUCGAGCCUCAGCAAGUGAGGUAUCCAGCUCAAAUGGCCCAGCAGCUACCCAACCCCAUUCCUCAGCAAUUAUGGCAUGUAGGCCAAAUUUCCCAGCAGCAACUGGCCCCAUUGUCUCAGCAGAAGCACUACGAAAGAACUGAAGAUGAUGCCUCUGGUAGUUCUCAGGCCAGCAUUGAACAGUCAGGUGUCAUCCCAAUCUCUUCCUACAGUUCCAAAUCGCACUACAAGAAUGGCAGAACUGUCUUUUCCCGAAUCAGCUACACUCCUAGGGAGGCAAUGCCUGUUGACAGUGGAAAUGCUCCCAAGGACGGUUAUGUUGGCAUUGGUGCACCAAGCAUAUAUCCAACACUAGUGAAGGAUUCUGCAAGGAAAAUGUAAUGGAUUCAUCCUCUAGAAGCUCUAAUGGACGUUGCUGGUGCUCUUGCUACUCUAGUGUGAUGGAAUGAAUAAACAACUUACUUUAAAAAAUGCCUUGUCUCUUUGAAAUAAUGAUUCUCGUGUCUUGAGAACGGGUGGUGUGCAGUCUUGUAAAAUUGACUGUUCAGUUAAUUCUUUGGUUGUUCAUCUUUUACCUUUGCUACUGGUUGUUCAAAAUAAAAGCUUGGGUCUACAUAAGAGCAUUUGUGAAGGGGUGAGUUGUCAAAUGUUCAUACUUUAGAUGUAGGCAUGCAUUGUAUACAGU
ensembl:lncRNA